rnacentral:rRNA from 1 species
AUACCGGCGGCUCGAGUGGUGGCCACUUUUAUUGGGCUUAAAGCGUUCGUAGCUGGGUUGUUAAGUCUCUUGGGAAAUCUGGCGGCUUAACCGUCAGGCGUCUAAGGGAUACUGGCAAUCUUGGAACCGGGAGAGGUGAGGGGUACUUCGGGGGUAGGAGUGAAAUCCUGUAAUCCUCGAGGGACCACCUGUGGCGAAGGCGCCUCACCAGAACGGCUUCGACAGUGAGGGACGAAAGCUGGGGGAGCAAACCGGAUUAGAUACCCGGGUAGUCCCAGCCGUAAACGAUGCGCGUUAGGUGUAUCGGUGACCACGAGUCACCGAGGUGCCGAAGGGAAACCGUGAAACGUGCCGCCUGGGAAGUACGGUCGCAAGGCUGAA